rnacentral:rRNA from 1 species
AUAGAACGCUGGCGGAAUGCUUUACACAUGCAAGUCGAACGGCAGCACGGACUUCGGUCUGGUGGCGAGUGGCGAACGGGUGAGUAACAUAUCGGAACGUAUCCAAUAAUGGGGGAUAACUAAUCGAAAGGUUGGCUAAUACCGCAUACGCCCUACGGGGGAAAGCUAGGGACCUUCGGGCCUGGCGUUAAUGGAGCGGCCGAUAUCUGAUUAGCUAGUUGGUGGGGUAAAGGCCCACCAAGGCGACGAUCAGUAGCUGGUCUGAGAGGACGACCAGCCACACUGGAACUGAGACACGGUCCAGACUCCUACGGGAGGCAGCAGUGGGGAAUUUUGGACAAUGGGCGCAAGCCUGAUCCAGCCAUUCCGCGUGAGUGAAGAAGGCCUUCGGGUUGUAAAGCUCUUUCGCAAGGGAAGAAAACUUAGCCUCUAACAUAGGCUGAGGUUGACGGUACCUUGAUAAGAAGCACCGGCUAACUACGUGCCAGCAGCCGCCGUAA